CCCCUAGAUGUUCUGGGCUGCACGCGCGCUACACUGAAGCGUUCAACGAGUAUUCACCUUGCCCGGGAGGGUUGGGUAAUCUUUUGAAAACGCUUCGUGAUGGGGAUAGAUUAUUGCAAUUAUUAAUCUUCAACGAGGAAUUCCUAGUAAGCGCGAGUCAUCAGCUCGUGCUGAUUACGUCCCUGCCCUUUGUACACACCGCCCGUCGCACCUACCGAUUGAAUGGUCCGGUGAAGCCUCCGGAUUGGCGCGCACCUCGGUGCCGCCGAGAAGUUGGCUAAACCUUACCAUUUAGAGGAAGGUGAAGUCGUAACA
rnacentral:rRNA from 1 species